rnacentral:rRNA from 1 species
AUUGAACGCUGGCGGCAGGCUUAACACAUGCAAGUCGAGCGGAGAGAGGUAGCUUGCUACCAAUCUUAGCGGCGGACGGGUGAGUAAUGCUUAGGAAUCUGCCUAUUAGUGGGGGACAACAUUUCGAAAGGAAUGCUAAUACCGCAUACGUCCUACGGGAGAAAGCAGGGGAUCUUCGGACCUUGCGCUAAUAGAUGAGCCUAAGUCGGAUUAGCUAGUUGGGGGGGUAAAGGCCUACCAAGGCGACGAUCUGUAGUGGGUCUGAGAGGAUGAUCCGCCACACUGGGACUGAGACACGGCCCAGACUCCUACGGGAGGCAGCAGUGGGGAAUAUUGGACAAUGGGCGCAAGCCUGAUCCAGCCAUGCCGCGUGUGUGAAGAAGGCCUUAUGGUUGUAAAGCACUUUAAGCGAGGAGGAGGCUACUUUAGUUAAUACCUAGAGAUAGUGGACGUUACUCGCAGAAUAAGCACCGGCUAACUCUGUGCCAGCAGCCGCCGCUGUA